AUUGAACGCUGGCGGCAUGCUUUACACAUGCAAGUCGAACGGCAGCGGGGUAGUGCUUGCUCUACUCCCGGCGAGUGGCGAGCGGGUUAGUAAUGUAUCUGACCGUUCCGAGGAGUGGGGGAUAACCAAUCGAAGCAUUUGCUACUACCGCAUAGAGUGUGAGGGAGGAGGCGGUGGAGCGCAAAACCUCGCGUUGUUCCAGCGGCCGGUUAAGGAUGGGCUAGUGGGUGGGGUAAAGGCCUACCAAGGCGACGAUCAGUAGCGGGUCUGAGAGGAGGAUCCGCCACACUGGGACUGAGACACGGACCAGACUCCUACGGGAGGCAGCAGUGGGGAAUUUUGGACAAUGGGGGCAAACCUGAUCCAGCCAUGCCGCGUGUAUGAAGAAGGCCUUCGGGUUGUAAAGUACUUUUGUUAGGGAAGAAAAGCGGUGAGCUAAUACCACGCUGUGCUGACGUUACCUACAGAAUAAGCACCGGCUAACUACGUG
rnacentral:rRNA from 1 species